rnacentral:lncRNA from 1 species
AUACGGAAUCUUAUAAUGUAAAUGCUAUCACAGAAGGAAUACGUGUGCAAGAUUUUGAUGCAAUUGCUGAAAAGUAUCUUCCACUUCGACAUCAAUUGUUUUAUUUUUUCCUGAAAAUUUCACUCACUAGCUUAUUUCUAUAUAUUACUUUUGAUAGUAUAAAUCAAGGAGGAAAUGAUAGAUUUACUACUGCCCUUCUUCCAAAUAUACUAACAGCUGCUAUUCCAGCACUUGCAGAAAAAUUUUGCUCUCCCUUUGACAUUGACGAAGCAUUAAAUUUUCAUGCAGAGGAAAUUAAGUUUGACUAUCUCGAAGUAUUUCAAAAACCUUCUGAUAAACUUCCAACUACAAGUACGAUUUGUCCAAAAUGUUUAAUGUAUAUUCUACCUCUUUCCUAUUCUGUAACAGAAUUUAUAUCAUUCAUAUUUAAUACAAUAAAUAGGCGAAAAUCACCUGUCGCUGCACAGCCAUGUUCGACAAAUUCUUCCACCAACAAUGAUGAAAGUGCUCCGUUACUCAUCACACCC